CGAAAGCAAAAAAUUAUGGCGGUAUUUUAAGCUUUUCAGAGGAAUUUGCUCUUUAAUGGAUAAAACACCUAGAUCUUACUUAAAUUAGCGCUUUUCAGUUUGUAUACCACUAUUAUAAUAAUAAUUUAUUAUUAUUAUUAAUAUUCUUGCAUUUAGAAAAAAAUUAAGUCAAGGUGCAGCAUAAAUUUAUGAAUGAAGUGAAUUACAUUUCUUUUAAGAAAAAAAAAUUGAAAUAAAACGUUUAGGAUUUGAUAGUAAAAUUAAAAUACAAAGUUAAUUUGAAUUAAGCUCUAAAAUAUGUAC
rnacentral:rRNA from 1 species